UACGGGGGGAGCAAGCGUUGUUCGGAUUUACUGGGCGUAAAGGGCGCGUAGGCGGCCAGCACAAGUCAGUUGUGAAAUCUCCGAGCUUAACUCGGAAAGGUCAACUGAUACUGUGCGGCUAGAGUGCAGAAGGGGCAACUGGAAUUCCCGGUGUAGCGGUGAAAUGCGCAGAGAUCGGGAGGAACACCCGUAGCGAAGGCGGCACUCUGGGCCGGUACUGACGCUGAGGAGCGAAAGCGUGGGGAGCAAACAGG
rnacentral:rRNA from 1 species